rnacentral:rRNA from 1 species
GGGGGACGCAGUAGGAUAGGCGAAGCGUGCUGUUGGAGUGCACGUCCAAGCAGUAAGGCUGAGUGUUAGGCAAAUCCGGCACUCGUUAGGCUGAGCUGUGAUGGGGAGAGGAAAUUGUUUCCUCGAGUCGUUGAUUUCACACUGCCGAGAAAAGCCUCUAGAUAGAUAACAGGUGCCCGUACCGCAAACCGACACAGGUAGUCAAGAUGAGAAUUCUAAGGUGAGCGAGCGAACUCUCGUUAAGGAACUCGGCAAAAUGACCCCGUAACUUCGGGAGAAGGGGUGCUCUUUAGGGUUCACGCCCAGAAGAGCCGCAGUGAAUAGGCCCAAGCGACUGUUUAUCAAAAACACAGGUCUCUGCUAAACCGUAAGGUGAUGUAUAGGGGCUGACGCCUGCCCGGUGCUGGAAGGUUAAGAGGAGUGGUUAGCUUCUGCGAAGCCACGAAUCGAAGCCCCAGUAAACGGCGGCCGUAACUAUAACGGUCCUAAGGUAGCGAAAUUCCUUGUCGGGUAAGUUCCGACCCGCACGAAAGGCGUAACGAUUUGGGCACUGUCUCAACGAGAGACUCGGUGAAAUCAUAGUACCUGUGAAGAUGCAGGUUACCCGCGACAGGACGGAAAGACCCCGUGGAGCUUUACUGUAGCCUGAUAUUGAAAUUCGGCACAGCUUGUACAGGAUAGGUAGGAGCCAUUGAAACGUGAGCGCUAGCUUACGUGGAGGCGUUGGUGGGAUACUACCCUAGCUGUGUUGGCUUUCUAACCCGCACCACUUAUCGUGGUGGGAGACAGUGUCAGGCGGGCAGUUUGACUGGGGCGGUCGCCUCCUAAAAGGUAACGGAGGCGCUCAAAGGUUCCCUCAGAAUGGUUGGAAAUCAUUCACAGAGUGUAAAGGCAUAAGGGAGCUUGACUGCGAGACCUACAAGUCGAGCAGGGUCGAAAGACGGACUUAGUGAUCCGGUGGUUCCGCAUGGAAGGGCCAUCGCUCAACGGAUAAAAGCUACCCCGGGGAUAACAGGCUUAUCUCCCCCAAGAGUUCACAUCGACGGGGAGGUUUGGCACCUCGAUGUCGGCUCAUCGCAUCCUGGGGCUGUAGUCGGUCCCAAGGGUUGGGCUGUUCGCCCAUUAAAGCGGUACGCGAGCUGGGUUCAGAACGUCGUGAGACAGUUCGGUCCCUAUCCGUCGUGGGCGUAGGAAAUUUGAGAGGAGCUGUCCUUAGUACGAGAGGACCGGGAUGGACAUACCUCUGGUGUACCAGUUGUCGUGCCAACGGCAUAGCUGGGUAGCUAUGUAUGGACGGGAUAAGUGCUGAAAGCAUCUAAGCAUGAAGCCCCCCUCAAGAUGAGAUUUCCCAACUUCGGUUAUAAGAUCCCUCGAAGAUGACGAGGUUAAUAGGUUCGAGGUGGAAGCGUGGUGACACGUGGAGCUGACGAAUACUAAUCGAUCGAAGACUUAAUC